AGGAUGAACGCUGGCGGUAUGCUUAACACAUGCAAGUCGAACGGUGUCUUCGGACACAGUGGCGGACGGGUGAGUAACGCGUGAGAAUCUGGCUUCAGGUCUGGGACAACCACUGGAAACGGUGGCUAAUACCGGAUGUGCCGAAAGGUGAAAGGCUUGCUGCCUGAAGAUGAGCUCGCGUCUGAUUAGCUAGUAGGUGGGGUAAAAGCCUACCUAGGCGACGAUCAGUAGCUGGUCUGAGAGGAUGAUCAGCCACACUGGGACUGAGACACGGCCCAGACUCCUACGGGAGGCAGCAGUGGGGAAUUUUCCGCAAUGGGCGAAAGCCUGACGGAGCAAUACCGCGUGAGGGAGGAAGGCUCUUGGGUCGUAAACCUCUUUUCUCAGGGAAGAACACAAUGACGGUACCUGAGGAAUCAGCAUCGGCUAACUCCGUGCCAGCAGCCGCGGUAAUACGGAGGAUGCAAGCGUUAUCCGGAAUGAUUGGGCGUAAAGCGUCCGCAGGUGGCUAUGUAAGUCUGCUGUUAAAGAGUGAGGCUCAACCUCAUAAGAGCAGUGGAAACUACAUGGCUAGAGUGCGUUCGGGGCAGAGGGAAUUCCUGGUGUAGCGGUGAAAUGCGUAGAGAUCAGGAAGAACACCGGUGGCGAAAGCGCUCUGCUAGGCCGCAACUGACACUCAUGGACGAAAGCUAGGGGAGCGAAUGGGAUUAGAUACCCCAGUAGUCCUAGCCGUAAACGAUGGAUACUAGGCGUGGCUUGUAUC
rnacentral:rRNA from 1 species